GAAAAAGAUACAUUAAUCUGUGGCUUUAUACCAAUGUCUUCAAACUUGUGGGUUAGAAAAAAGAAAACCCUCCAAGCUCAAUUGAGUACAGAACAAAUUGCACAUGAAAAACAUAACAAAACUUUGUCUUUUAAGUAUUGAACUAGUAAUGAUCUAUAUAUUUUCUCUUUUUUCGAGUAUCAUGAAUUAUGUAACUUUCACAUCAAAGGCAUUUAAUCCAUUUACACACACAAAAAAAACAAGAAAAGCUAGCACUGACAGUACUAGUGGUUUCUCAAGAAGGAAAUGAGGCUCUUGAAAGUAGACUCAUCGCAAGGCAAAAUGAUUCCAUUUUGGUUAUCGUAUCCAUAUUCCUCUGCAGCUUUGUCUAGCAACUGCUGAAAGAUUGGAUUGUGGAGGUAAGAUGUGGGAACAACAAAUCUUUUCAUUUCAUCACCCACAUACACCACAAAAUGACCCUUUGGAGCUCUUCUCCUCCCGCCAAUCUCUUCUUUUCUUGGCAUCUUGAUCAACAAACUAAGAGAGAAAGGUGAAGUAAAAUAAAAUUCA
rnacentral:misc_RNA from 1 species